GAUGAACGCUGGCGGCGUGCCUAAUACAUGCAAGUCGAGCGAACAGACGAGGAGCUUGCUCCUCUGACGUUAGCGGCGGACGGGUGAGUAACACGUGGAUAACCUACCUAUAAGACUGGGAUAACUUCGGGAAACCGGAGCUAAUACCGGAUAAUAUAUUGAACCGCAUGGUUCAAUAGUGAAAGACGGUUUUGCUGUCACUUAUAGAUGGAUCCGCGCCGCAUUAGCUAGUUGGUAAGGUAACGGCUUACCAAGGCAACGAUGCGUAGCCGACCUGAGAGGGUGAUCGGCCACACUGGAACUGAGACACGGUCCAGACUCCUACGGGAGGCAGCAGUAGGGAAUCUUCCGCAAUGGGCGAAAGCCUGACGGAGCAACGCCGCGUGAGUGAUGAAGAUCUUCGGAUCGUAAAACUCUGUUAUUAGGGAAGAACAAAUGUGUAAGUAACUAUGCACGUCUUGACGGUACCUAAUCAGAAAGCCACGGCUAACUACGUG
rnacentral:rRNA from 1 species